rnacentral:rRNA from 1 species
GAGGAAUAUUGGUCAAUGGACGAGAGUCUGAACCAGCCAAAUCGCGUGAAGGAAGACUGCCCUACGGGUUGUAAACUUCUUUUGUACAGGAAUAUAAGACAUUACGUGUAAUGUAUUGCAUGUACUGUACGAAUAAGCAUCGGCUAACUCCGUGCCAGCAGCCGCGGUAAUACGGAGGAUGCGAGCGUUAUCCGGAUUUAUUGGGUUUAAAGGGUGCGCAGGCGGGAUUUUAAGUCAGCGGUGAAAUUUUCAGGCUCAACCUGAACACUGCCGUUGAAACUGGGAUUCUUGAGUAUGGAUGAAGUAGGCGGAAUUCGUUGUGUAGCGGUGACAUGCUUAGAUAUAACGAGGAACUCCGAUUGCGUAGGCAGCUUACUAAGCCAUAACUGACGCUCAAGCACGAAAGCGUGGGGAUCAAACA